rnacentral:rRNA from 1 species
AUUGAACGCUGGCGGCAUGCUUUACACAUGCAAGUCGAACGGCAGCGCGGGCUUCGGCCUGGCGGCGAGUGGCGAACGGGUGAGUAAUACAUCGGAACGUGCCCAGUAGUGGGGGAUAGCUCGGCGAAAGCCGGAUUAAUACCGCAUCCGACCUGAGGGUGAAAGCGGGGGAUCUUCGGACCUCGCGCUAUUGGAGCGGCCGAUGGCAGAUUAGCUAGUUGGUGGGGUAAAGGCCUACCAAGGCGACGAUCUGUAGCUGGUCUGAGAGGACGACCAGCCACACCGGGACUGAGACACGGCCCAGACUCCUACGGGAGGCAGCAGUGGGGAAUUUUGGACAAUGGGCGAAAGCCUGAUCCAGCAAUGCCGCGUGUGUGAUGAAGGCCUUCGGGUUGUAAAGCACUUUUGGCGGGAACGAAAAGGACUGUGCCAAUACCACGGUUCGAUGACGGUACCCGCAGAAUAAGCACCGGCUAACUACGUG